rnacentral:rRNA from 1 species
UACGUAGGGGGCUAGCGUUGUCCGGAAUCAUUGGGCGUAAAGAGCGUGUAGGCGGCCCGGUAAGUCCGCUGUGAAAGUCGGGGGGCUCAACCCUCGAAUGCCGGUGGAUACUGUCGGGCUAGAGUGCGGAAGAGGCGAGUGGAAUUCCUGGUGUAGCGGUGGAAUGCGCAGAUAUCAGGAGGAACACCAAUGGCGAAGGCAGCUCGCUGGGACGUGACUGACGCUGAGACGACGAAGCGUGGGGAGCAAACAGG